UAGUCCUAGCCGUAAACGAUGGGCACUAAGUAGGGGGGCUCCCAAGGCCUCUCUGCCGGAGCUAAUGUGUUAAGUGCCCCGCCUGGGGAGUAUGGUCGCAAGGCUAAAACUCAAAGGAAUUGACGGGGGCUCGCACAAGUGGUGGAGCAUGCGGUUUAAUUCGAUGCUACGCGAAAAACCUUACCAACCCUUGACAUGGUGGUCGCGAGAGAUAGAGAUAACUCUCUUCAGUUAGGCUGGACCACACACAGGUGUUGCAUGGCUGUCGUCAGCUCGUGUCGUGAGAUGUUGGGUUAAGUCCCGCAACGAGCGAAACCCUCAUUCUCAUUUGCCAGCGGUUCGGCCGGGAACUAUGAGAAAACUGCCGGUGAUAAGCCGGAGGAAGGUGGGGAUAAUGUCAAGUCAUCAUGGCCCUUAUGGGUUGGGCUACACGCGUGCUACAAUGGUAUCUACAGAGGGAUGCAAUAUGGCAACAUGGAGCAAAUCCUCAAAGGAUAUCUU
rnacentral:rRNA from 1 species